rnacentral:lncRNA from 1 species
GUGGCUCUAGACUUCCUUUUGAGACACCUUAAACACCUGGCGACAGCCACCAGUGGAAAGACCAAAAAAAAAGAAGUGAUGAAACUGGCCCACAGAAGAGGUCGCUGAGAUGUGUGGUCAUCAGGCUAAGGGGCUCUGGGAUGGGCAUUCCCCCACCCCAACCCCUGGCUGUCCCCUUCCUCAGUCCGAGGGAAGGGUCUCCCCUUCAACCAGCUCAGAGUUCAGCUUAGUUCUUGACUCGGGUCUCAUCUCCAGGGGCUGUGGAUCACAGUGCUGGGUCCUUGGCCGUGGUGAGUUCCAGUGCUGGAGCUAGGGCCUGGCAGGACUGAGGACGAAGUAAAGCUCUACCUCUCAGAAGUGACGGCCUCAACAAGACUUACCCUCGAAGCUGUGCUGCUGAGGACACGUGGCACAGGGGUUGCACGGUCAGCUUUUAAUGCAAUGUGCGGUGAUGCAGAUCCUGUCCCUGGACAACCUUUUUUUGAGGCGACUAUCCUGCUACCCUCUACGUUUCGGUUUGCCUUCACUGGUUCUCUAACUUUCUGAGUCUUUGUUUUAGUCAAGUGUGUAAAUAUCAGGAUCUGGUAAGAGAUGCUUCCUACUCUCCCCUCCCCUGCAGGCCCCUUCUCCUCCCCUCCCUCAAUGAAAAGUGACAGUCAGGGCUGGUGUCUGCCUGGCUUAAUAUGAAUGCUGAGACUUGUAAAAUCA